AGGUAGGCCACCUUGGAGAUGCUUAUCAAGAAUGAGUUCACCAGCCUAUAGUCACCAAGGAAGGCUCACGCUUUUUCCAAAAUGCUUUUUGGGAGGCUCCAUGCAAAGAGGUUGGAGAGAACUGUAAAGGGAAGGGGAAGAACAUAUCAAUAGGAUUCCUAAACCCUUUAUUUGAACCAUUCAUUUCUCUCAAUGUUAUUAAUGAAUUUUAAGCAUUUGGAUUGGACAUGAAGAUAUUUUUUUAAGGUUUAAUUUGAAUAUAAGUAUUUUAUGACUUUAUAUUAAG